rnacentral:lncRNA from 1 species
GUUCCACUAAUUUGGAACUUAAUUUGAAAGUCUUAUUUUAACCUGGAUGUUUUCGGGACGCCACGCGGACUGUAAAAAUGUGUCAGGAGAGGGAGAUUCUCAUUGUGUAACUGGAAAAACUAGCUUGGAAUGGAAGCAUUUGUACAAAAUAGUUCAGUUUGGCCAAAACACUACUCCAUUUAUCAUGCAGACGUAUGAGCUGUUAAUAUAGUGUCUGAUACAACGGACCUGCACACAGUUUGGCAAAUGGUAAUGCAGGGUAUGUUUCAGUUGUGAAUGUUAGCGAAACUGAAAGGAUAAUUUAAUUUGUCAAGCCUAAUUUAACGUAUAUUAACUUUAUCUCAAACUGCAUAAUUUAAUUUGUCAAGCUUAGUACUUGGUACUAUGUCCUUAAGACAAUUAUGCCCCCGUACGAUGUUCAAAGUUGAUAGUAUUUGUCUCCCAUGAUACAAUGACAAUGUAUACUAUAGUAGCACUCCAAAUAGUAUACUCAACGAACCAAAUAAAAGCUCAGAACUCUCUCAAAAUAACUAUGAAAACUGAUGAACAAAUAAACGACAAUGUAUGCUUGAAUACUUGUAAAUGAACGACUUAAAUGGGCUGCCCCCCUAUCUAUUUAUAGGAGAGGUGACCCUUUGGAUGGGGUAUUAACACUUGAAAAGACAUGAGAUGCUUCUGAAAAGGCAUGAUGUGGCAUCCUUUGGUCAAAACGACGUAGUUUUGAUCCUUUGUAGAAUGGGCGCGUCUAUUCGGGCCACAAAACGACGUAGUUUUAGUUUGAUCAUAACAAAAGCGACGUAGUUUAAGGCUUAACAGAAAAGGUGAAUUCGUUCAGGCAAAAACGACGUAGUUUUGCAGCGUCUUUAAAUAAUUUUUGUCCAAAAAUUUAUAUACAAGGAGCCAAACCCACAAGCUCGAGCUAGACCAAUUAGUGAUGCAUGCGUGUGGGUUUGAACAACGCCUUAGCUAAGUUCUCUUCCACACAAGGGGGCCCAAAUUCAAGAGCAAUUUUCUAAUAUAUAAACUCAAUAAUUCUUUAGUUCUUAACCGAUGUAGGACUUGACUUCCCACAUGUAUUUAUUAUCAUUUAUCAUUUUCAAGAGUGAUCUUUAGGAGUUAAUUUCUCAUUCAUUACUCUAUGAAUUUGAGUUUUCAAAUACUUAAUUUAAUCUACUUAUAGAAUAGAACACAUUGAUAUGUGGAAUCAAUUAAUUAAUUAAUGAAACCCUCUUCAAUUUUAGGUUCAAAUUCUAAGAGUGAAGUUAGUGCAUAUUUGAAACAAAUCACACGAUUCAAUGACCUUGCAGAAUGAAGUGACUAACAAUCUCCCCCUCCGAACCCAUUAAAGGAUAUGUUCACCAUGACUCCGUCACUUGGAGUCGAUUCCUGUGUCAAAUCCAACUCUUGAAGAAACCACGACAUUUCGUUGUCAACUCAGUAGUAGACAAAGCAAUACACUUCUGCAACUUGGACUGCCAUAACACGGCUCCCCCUGCAAAAGUAAACAAAUACCCCGAAGUAGAUUCCUUCUGUUCGAAACCUGCUAUGUCUUCUUCUGUAUAACCUUCCAAGACUGAAUUUGCACGUCAAACCACAACUCCUCACUUGGAGUUAAUCCCAACGAAGCCUUGACUCAACUCAAGCUUCUUAGAAUUUUCAACUUUCUUCACGUCCAACUUUAUUUCAUCGGCAUGGCUCUUCUUGAUAGGAGGAUCUAACUCAAACUUGAUAGAUUUUUUCUUGUCAAAUUUUUUCACAACCGCUUUGUAUCUUGGCUGCGAGCUAUCACUUUCCUUCUUCACUUUUGGUACCCAUUUCAAGUGAAGAGCUUUUUUCUCGUGGUUCUCAUGCAAGGUUUUUCUUCCAUCUUGCAUGGCUUUGUACCACAUCCUUUUUCGCCUAACUCCCCCAUCUUUAACACCUUCCACACGUGCCUUUAUUGUGCAAAAAGCGCCUACCUUCUUUCCUCUAGUCACCACUAGAGACCCUUUAGUGAGCUUCCACUGACCUUCACCAAAGGAAAUGCUAUAACCAUUCUCAUCAAGCAUACCAAUAGACAUCAAAUUAAGGCGCAUAUCCGGAACAUGUCUGACUUCUCUAAGCAUCAACAUGCCACCAUUGUUAGUCUUCAGAUAAAUACUCCAAUGCCGAUAACCUUGGAUGCACUACCAUUUCCCAUUCGUACAUAGUCAAAAUCACCACUAAUGUAGGAUGUGAAGAUCUCACCACGUGAAUGUGAGACCCCGAAUUUUAUGAAAUAAAAGUAUUCAAUUUUUUUUUAUUUUGGUGAAUAGUUAAAUUGAUAAAAGUUUAAAGUUAAGGGUGACAUUUAAAAUUUUUUCAAAGUAAGCAAGUUGUUAUAAAAUAAUCGGUGGUAAAAUACGCGUGAUUGCAUAGUAACACACGGUAUUGAUUUUUAAUGCUUACGUGAGAAGUCACUCAGUUUGAUUCAAUUAUUGUCGAUAUUUUAUAUAUUAUUAAAUUAAUAAUUGAGAUACCAAAGUUAUUAAUAUAAUUAUUUGCAAUAUUAACGAUGUCUAGAAGUUCUGCCAAGGAGAGGUUUGGUCACCUAAUUGCGCGCCAAUAGGGAGAAAUUCUUAUUGGAAAGUCCUCUCUUUCUUAGGAACGACCUGGUCGAUUAAUAGUGUGAAUUAUAAUAAUGAUGAUGAAGUUUGUUUUAUUAGUAUUAUUAAUGUAAUAAAACAGAAAAGCUUUUUAUAUAAAACAGAAUACUUUUAUAAAGUUAUUCGUUUUAUUAGACUAUAAAUAGAAUAUAUUAUAUUCUAUUAUGCAUAGUAUUUUGCAUAGUAAAAUCUUUUUAUAUAAAACAAAAUACUUUUAUAAAGUUAUUUAUUUUAUUAGACAAUAAUUAGAAUAUAUUAUAUUUUAUUUUGCAUAGUGCCUGCAUAGUAAAAUCUUUUUAUAUAAAACAGAAUACUUUUAUAAAGUUAUUUAUUUUAUUAGAUUAUAAAUAGAAUAUAUUAUAUUUUAUUUAAAAGAUUUUAUUUUAUUAGAAUAUUUUAUAGUAAACCAAUUUGGACCGUCCGUUUAAAAGUAAAUCAAUCUGGACCGUUCAGGAAUCAGUUACUAUUCAGUCCAUUCUCCUAUAAAUAGAAGCUCAUCCCUUCAUUAUUUCUUACGAAUUCACUGAAACUCUAGAUAGAGAAACUAUAGAGAGAAAGAAGAAAAGUAUUUUGCUACUUCACUACUCCUAUAUUCAGUUUGUUUUAAGGUAAGAGAUAUUAUUUGUUGUACUUGUAAGGGGUAUUAUUUCUUUCGUAUUCAUAAAGAGAACUUCUGUUGUGACGCCCCUAAAAUAGGUAUACAUCACCCAUUUUGAGUUGUCAAUAAUAUGGUACAGAAACAACUACAACUUUAUUAAUAAAACAUAUAAACUGUGAGUUGAAAUAUAAAUACUGCCAUUUAGACAAUAUUCACACCCAAAUAAGUCUUCAUUACAAUUAUUGGUAUAUUAUUUUAUAAAAAUGGUGAGGACUACUAAGACAACUUUCUAAAUCCAUCAUUCCACACCCGACUAGAACUCGCUACAUUCUCGCCUCAUGAGAAGAAAAAUGGAACAAAAAGGAAAAGGAUGAGCUCAACUAGCCCAGUAAAGAAUAUUAUGACUAAGAUAAUAUAGAACAAAUUAUCGUUAGUCUUCAACAGGGAAAAAUCUGAUAAAAUACAAUAGACAACAAGUUUCAGAUCAUUAUUCGCAGCGGAAAUAAUAAUUCAUAGAAGAGUUAUGUAGAGAAUGAUAUCUACUAUUAUCUAUGAAUUUAAAAGUCCAUCAUCAAUAUUUUAUCCCUAUAACAUCAACCAAUAUACAUCUUGAAUCAAAUAUUCAUCUUUGCAUUAUAGGCCAAAUAUAUUCAUCAGUUGGUCAUGUUCAUCUCAACACCUGUUCAUCUUUGCACUACGGGCCAAAGAUAUUCAUAAGAAAAUCAACCAUCUUGCACUACAGGCCAAAGAUAUUCAGUAAUAUCAUCAUUUAGGACUGAGGAUGAUGAAAAAUAUUUUAAAGAAAACGAAUCCAGUGAAAUAAAAAAACAAAUACUAAGGAUUCGUACUUUAAACAAUCCGAGUUCAAAAAAAUUUCAUAAAUACUCAUGGUGAAGUAAAAUUCAAGAAUGAUCAAAACAUGGAUACAAUCAAAGCUAGUAUCCAUAAUAGAUAUUUUGGACAAAAUACGAAAAUUUAAUUUUUCUAUGAAUAGUGCCGUAUUCGUGAAUAGUGUCGUAUACGUAAAUAGUAUCGUAUACGUGAAUAAUAACCCCGACACUAAAAGACAAGAAUUUCACAAGAAAAAUCUUACCAAUAUUUUGGCAUAAUGAUAUUAAAAGAAAUAAUAUCAUUUAUAAAAAAAAUAACAUCCCUUAUCUCGAAAAGACGGUACUUUUGACUGGAAUACUGGAUAUAGUGCUGAAGGGAACUUGCACCGUAUAGCAACACUCAAAGUAUCAAAAUACUCACAAGAAUACGCUCGAUAAUAUAGAGAGAGAAAACUUCAGUUUCUGGUGUGAUUUUCAAUUCUAACUUAAGCACCCUAUUUAUAGAAAAAUGCUUAGAACACCAAAGCAGAAAAUUUAAUAAAAUAUUAAUAUAUAUAAUAAAUUGUCUACGCCCACCUAGAAUCAUCCAAUUUCAGCAUGUUUAAUAACAAGUGAGCCCACCAAACAUAUCAAAAAUGUUUUUCUUUUAAAACAAAUUUAAAACUUUAAAGAAAUAAUUAUUUCAGAACUUCAGAACUUCAAUAAUUCAUAAUAAAUAGCCCUUUUAUCAGAAAAAUUCAAACCUUAUGUUCUUUUCAUAGGAAAUUCCAUUCUCUACAACUUUGCAGAAGAAAGUUUUUCCAAAUUCCAAAUAAAAAUUGACCGAAAUUCACAAACGGGCGAUUUUAUAGGCUAUAAUUAAAUUUCAGUCAAGAAAUGGGGUCCACGAACAUGUUUAACAUGUUUUAAACAAUUUUAGUAACAAAAAUACUUCUCCUCCUCAUAUACUCAUAUAUCCCACAUUCAUUGUAAAAAUAUCAUCAUUAUUAUAUUAUUAAAAUAUAAUAAUAUAUUUAAAUGAAUUAUUUAUCAAAAAAGAUAAAAUAUCAACUUUUCAACAAUUGUCACUUUAAAAUUUUCUCCAUCUAUAUCCACAUAAAAUGAAUAUUUUCCUUAUCAUAUAAAUCAAUAAUUAAUUAUUCACAAAUAAUAUUAUAGAAUCACAAUACUGGCAACCAGGCCGUUCCCAGGAAAGAGGGGGCUUUCCAAUAAGGAUUUCUCCUUACUGGCGCGCAAUUAGGUGACCAAACCUCUCCUUAGACAGAACUUUCUAGACAUUGCCAAUAAUGUUAUCUAAUAAUAUUAUUCAAAUAAUAUGAAUUAUUGAUCUGAUAAUGAAAAUACUGUGUAGUGACAAUUAUUGAAACAACAAUAAUAUAAAAUAUCAACGUAGCAAUUAUUGAAUCAAUAAAAUAAAAUAUUGAACAGUAAUUACUGUAACAAUUAUUGAGUAGUGCCUUCUUACGUAAGAAUCAAUAAUUGGUGCAAUACCGUGUGCUACUGUGUUUUAACCACCGGGUAUUCCAACAGUAUUAACGGUAACAACUACGCCGUUAUUUAUAAACAACUUAUACUUGUCGUUUUCUUCAUCCAAUCGUUUUCCGUUAUGGGGCCCACACAAGGUUGCGCCGUCCUACGAAUAUUCCCCGACAGUAAGAAUAUUCCACGACCAAACGAAUAUUCCCCGACAACAAUGAAUAUUUUAUAACCACUUGCUUUAUUAUUGUGUUGGAAUUUCUGUUAUUCCAUUCUUUAUUAUUCUGUUGGAAUAACCUAUAUACGCGGACUACUCUAUACAUGGUGAAAUUCUUCUAUUAUUCUAUUCCUUAUUAUUAUGUUGGAAUAACCUGUCUAUGCGAAGUACUGCAUACAUGGUGAAAUUCUUCUAUUAUUCUAUUCUUUAUUAUUUUUUCGGAAUAUCCUGUCUGUGCGUUUACGCAUGACCUGGUUCCAUUAUUUAUUAUUCUGUUGGAAUAUCCUGUCGGUGCGAAUUACGUUUGACAUGGUUCCGUUCUUUAUUAUUCUGUUGAGAAUAACCUGUCUGUGCGAUCUAUCGCAUGCAUGGUGAAUUCUUCAGUUAUUCCAUUCUUUAUUAUUCUGUUGGAAUAACCUGUCUAUGUGGAUUACCACAUGUAUGGUGAAUGAUCAUUUGUAUUCAUUCCUUAUUAAAUUGUGAAAAUGAUCUGUUUACGUGGAUUAUGAUGAAAGUCAUAAUAAAAGAUUUGGACUGAUGAAAAUCAUUGGUAUAUGUAGUAUUAGUAAGUGUUAUGAUAAGUUAUGUUGGUUAUUAUGUGAAAAUAUGAAAGUUUCUUAGAAAUCACAAAGGGUUAAAAAUCAGAUUUUGGUGAAAAUGGAAUAUGAAAUUCAAUUGACCAUAUCUCCUAUUAUAUUUCAAAUUUUUGAGUGUGGUCAAGUUGUAGAGUUAGAUCUAUGAGUUUUCUAACUUAUCCAAGUGGAACCACUGGAAAAGGUGUUGUAUAUUUUCGUGUGGACUGAUUUUAGCAAAGGAGUCAAAAACUACAAAAUACCAAAAAGGUUACUGCCCAGAAGUUUAAAAGGGCUGUUUCAGCCACUUAAUUUGUGAGAAAAAUUCCUGCCUUUUGGGACAUGAAAAUAUAUGGUAUAAAGUACCUCCUGUCCAAAAAUGAGCUCAUUCCGACUUAAAAUGAGCAAGUUAUGACCAUUUUAAUAUUUAGGUUUUUCCGACGAAAAAUGCUAUAAUUGGAGUUCUAUAACUCUGAUGACCAUGAAAUUUAAACUGGAAGAUUACGUUAACAUGUGUAAGAUCCUGCCAAGAUUUGGGAAUUUCUGGAGUUAAACUUGAGGUAGCUAAUUUCUUAGGGAAUUAAUUAGAAAUUGAUUUAUGAAAAUUAGUAAAUGAAUUUUAAAAAUUCUGAGAAAAAUAUAUGUUCAAUACGGGACUAUAUUCUGCUAAAUCUCAAAAAAGAAAUAUUUUUGGGACAUUUGGUAUUUUUCAUGAAAAUGCACUAGUUAUGAGUAUAUGAGUUAAAUAUGUUAUGUGAAGUUGAAAAUUGGUAAAUAUGAUUUUAUGGCUUGGGAAUCCUAUAUAGGGUAUAUGCAGAUUUUUGAUAAGGGAUUUGAUCAUUGGUGAUGAAAUCUUAUGAGUAUGACAUUUUUGAAUGAUUAAAUGCAGUAUUUGGUAAAGUGUAAACAAUUAAAAUAAAUUAUUUAAAAGUUUAAGAAAUAAUUAAAAUAUUGUUAUAAUAUUAAUGAUAUUAGAUUAUAAGAUUAUUAAGUAAUUGAUAACAUUGGGAUAUUCUUGAACCCUGGAUAAUUUAUAUUAUAAAUGUUUAAUAUUUAUCCUUUAUCUCAUUUGAUUGAUUCUUUAUAUCGUUGUCAUGAUCCUCAUGCUUAUAUUGUGUUGAAAGUCAUCUGUGACUUACGUGCAUAGAUGGACUUGGUAUGAUUAUGACCAAGGAUUAUUCGGUAUAAUCAUGACCGUAAUGUUACAAAUAAUGUGGUAAAAGUCAUCUUUGGCCCGUAGUGCAUAGAUGGACUUGGUAUGAUUAUGACUAGGGAUUAUUCGGUAUAAUCAUGACCGUAAUUUAAAACACGAAUAUCCUUGGCCCGUAGUGCAUGGAUAAUUCAUGGUCGUGAUACUAUUAAGCUGAGUCUCAGUAUUAUUGGUUAUAUAGUUGUAUAUCUUUGGCCUGUAGUGCAAAGAUUAACUGUUGGUUAUUGGUUAUAUAGUUGUAUAUCUUUGGCCGUAGUGCAAAGAUGAAUUGAUUAGUAUGAUUAUGAGCAGGAAUUGUGAUUUGGUAUAACCAUGAUUUUUGAUGUUUCAGGUGAAGAUAGGUGAUAAAAAUUAUCUUCGUCCUGGGUGCGAAAAGGAAUUCAGAAUCACAAUUAUGAUUAUGAGUUAUUCAUAUGAUUGUGGAUAGGAAUUAUUGAUUGAUGUUACAGGGAUAAAACAUUAUUGGUGGACUUUUAACAUGGAGAAGAUAAUAGACCUGAUGGUCUAUUUGACUCUUUUAAUAGAUUGCUCGUUCCGCUGCAACUGUAGUUGAAAAGUUUUAUCAUCUACCAUAUGUUCUAAAUCUUUGAUUUAUUAUUGACGAAAGCUAUUGAUAAUUUAAUUAUCUUUAGUUAUGAUAUUCUUUACUGGGCUAGUUGUGCUCACCCUUUUGCUUCACAAUCCCUUUCAGGUAAUAAGAGUGUUGCCGAGUAGAGCUGGGAUAACAGGGGAAUAGAACGGUGGUCUAUAGCUGUUGAGGUUCUCCCUAAAUAGUAUGGAAAUAAUUUUAUUGAGAACUUUAGAUAAGUGUGUCGUAUUGUAUACGUCAUUUGAUAUUUAAUUUUGGUGAACCGAAUAGGGUGAGGUGAACCCAACUUUGGAAGGGUGUUUUGCCACUAUCAUACAAGAUGUCUAAUGACAUACAACCUCGUGUUAUCAUAAGACAGGGUUGUGCACAUCCACUUGCUGAGUAUAUCUACGAGCACUACCUAUAUGAUCUUGGAGUUUAUUUGAAAUAUAAUGUUCAAUUGCAGACAGUGGAUAUAGUUAUAUGUCAAGAGAAGACUCACCAUUGGAAGGAACAUGAUAGUAAUCUUCUCGUUUUUCUUUGGGGUCUAUUGGGUCAACCAAGGAUAAUUCUCUGGACAUAUGAUAUCUAUCAUAACUUAGAUUCAUGGCCUCCUAUGUACGAAGGUUUCCUUGAGUACUUCCCAAAGAUUUUAAUUUCUAAAACAGUUUUUGACUAUACUUUUAUGUAAAGUAUCUUUGUAAGGUGUUGUAGUCAAGGCACCAUGAGAGUUACAUAGAUUUUGUAUUGAAACUCACAGCUUAUCUGUUGUCGUACUCCGCACGACAGUUCAACAGUUGUAUAAAUGAAGUUUGUAUUUAAUUUUUAUAGAGUGAUAUCUGGCGACUCAGAAUGGGUGAUGUAUACCUAUUUUGGGGGCGUCACAGUGAAGUAGCAUGGAACGAAGCACCCGAAUCAAUAACCCAUUCAUUAACUUGACACUUAGGUUUACCAUCACGAACAAGGGCUACAUCAACGUCGGAUAGAUACACAAUUGUGUCCUUAUCCUCAUCUUUUUCCUUAGACUGUUCCUUCUUUAAAAAUUUGCACUCUCGCCUUAUAUGACCCGGUCUCUGGCAGUGAAAACAAAUUAUCUCUUUUCCUCUCAACCUUCUCCUGGAUUUUUCAUCUUCAGGAGAGCUCUUCUCUCUGUUUCUGCUGCUACUCUGUAUGACAAAAACUUGUGUUUGUAUCUCAGAAUUCACACCUUGCUCCUUUCGUCUUGUCUCUUCAUUAUGAAGACUGUCCUUGACCAUCUGCAUAAUUAUUUUCCUUCUGGAGCUGAAUUGCUUAGAGACACCACCAAAGUCUCCCAACUGUUUGGCAACGAACUGAGAAGCAAAAGAGCCUGGAUCUCAUCAUCAAGAUUCAACUUUAUGGUGGACAGCUGGUUCACCAAACCUUGGAACUCACUCAUAUGCUCCGACACACUGAUCCUGUCCUUGUACUUUAGAUUCACAAUUUUUUGAAUGACAAAAGUUUUAUUUUGUGCAUUCUUCUUCUCGUACAUAGACUCUAGUGUUGUCCAUAAAUUGUGAGCAUCCGUCUCCUGCGAAACAUGGUGGAAUACACUUUGAUCAAUCCACUGCCGGAUGUGACCAAUAGUCUUCCUAUUCAUUUUAUUCCAAUCAGCCUCAGACUUAUCCGCGGGCUUCUUUCCCUUGAGCUCCAACGGAUCAUAUAAAUCCUUGCAAUAAAGGAUAUCCUCCAUUCUGGGCUUCCAGAUCGAAAAAUUUGAAGAGGUCAAUUUAAUCAUGGCUCCGACUGAUUCCUCCAUAAAAUUUAUCAAAAACAACCGAGCAAAUAACCUUAGCUUUGAUACCAGUUGUUGGGAAAAAUCUCCUCCCAAAUACUGUUGUCUUUGAUAAAUUAGACGAAUAAAAAUUAUCAGCACAUGCCAAACAGAUUAAAUUUGCAGUUCCACCAAAAUAAUAACCACUGCAGGAAAUAAUGAGUAGAAAAUAUCCAACUACGAGACACCAAGAUUUUACGUGGAAAAUCCUCUUAAUUAAGAGGUAAAAACCAUGGGACAAACUCCGAAGAAUUCACUAUAAUAAACUGAGAGAAUACAAAGAUAUCUUAAUUUGAGUACAAACUCAAAUUACUUCACCACAAUAACUAUGUGAUGGAACCCAAAUAAAACACCCUUUUAUUUGAACUAUCUUUCACUCUCUAUUUUUCUAAAGCUUUACAAAAGCUUCUUUCUCUCACUCUCUAUUUCUUCCAACUCUUGGAUUGCUCUCGGAUGAAACUUGAGAGAGUUUUUGGUGUAUUUGAUCCCUCAAGCUUGGCUGCCCUUUUAUAGCAAAAUGGAGGGGAGAGGAAGUCAAUAAGGGAGGCCAAACUUUCAAAGAAGGAGGGCUAAGUUGUGUAUAAGGAUGAAAACAUGAAACAUGUUAAUGGGUGAGGACACAUAUGUUGACUAACAAUUACUAUGGUAAGGCAUUCUCCCAAGGGAAAGGGAACAUUGAUUCCUUCAUGCUGUUGGAAUAGGGGUAUAAACGAUUCGACUCGUUUAUAAAAGAGUCAAGCUCGAGUUGAGCCAAACUUUAGUUGAGCUAAAUCAAAUUUAAAUAUUGUGGAAUUAAUUACUUUUUGUGUAUAUAAAAUGUAAAAUUAAUUAAUUUAAUUAACUAAAUACAUAGAUCUCUUCUGCAUUAUUCUUUGUAUCAUUGUUAGUUUUCUAUUCCAAACAUUUUCUAAACGAGUCGAGACAUUUAUUAUUCUUUGUAUCGUUGUUAGUUUUCUUGUUGAGUUGAAACGUUGUAUUUUUAUAAAUUUUGUUCUAAACGAGCUCGAGCCGAGAUUAGAAUCAUUUUCUAAACGAACUCAUUUAAAUGAACAGAAUUCCUUGUUUGAACUUGACUCAAUAAAUGAACUCGACUCGAGUCAAAAGUAAAACAAGCCUAGUUGAUUUGUGAACAACCCAAUUCAUUAGUUGAUUUGUGACCAACUUGUAGGAUAAAGUAGCGGUGAAAAUAAUACCUCUAAUAUAACCUUACGCCUUAAAUAUAAUAAGAGUAACACUCUGUUUCUGAGUUUUAAAAUGGACAGAAAAGAAAAAAAAUGGACAGAAAAGUUAAGUUUUCUUUUCAAUUCUUAUGUUUCCGAGUUUUUUAAUAAACGGAAAAAAAAGGAUAGAAAACUUGGCCAUUUUUCCUGUUAAAGUUUUCCGUCCAAAAUUGGUCUGAUUUGGACGGAAAACAAAUUGAAGUAAUAUUUUUAUAAUUCCCAUAUUAUCCUCAACUUUUAAUAUAAUAAAUUUUAAAUUACAACUCAUGUCCUCAAUUUUAAAUUUUCUAUUCUUUUCUAUUAAAACCUCAGAAACAACACAAAGGAAAACUUCAAGUUUUCUAUUCUUUUCUGUUCUAAUUUAAAUUUUCUAUUCUUUUUUUUUCUGUUCAAAACUCAGAAACAGAGCGUAAGAGAGUUUAAAACCUUACAUGUAAGAGUAAGAGAAUUCAAAAAAUGGACAAACAAUGAAUCUAACUGAUGGGCUUGAAAAGAGAGACGUGUCUCCAUGUCGACUAAAAUGAGGAAAGCUUUAUUCAUCCACUGUUACUUUUGAAAGUAACAAAACUGUAAAUGACUCACAAGUCACAAGAGCAGUUGGCGGGCCAAAGAACUUGAAACCCCUAAACCAUUUUAUAAAUUGUCAAUUAGCUCAGAGUAAAAAUCUGAAGGGCCACCAGACUUUUCCACAUUUCAAACAAAAAUUGAUGCAGAAAGCUAUCAGAAAAGAUUCACUACCACUGAAUGAAAGAGUUUGCAUUACUCAAAUAGAUUAUAUAAUAAACUUAAGUACGAGUUUCUCGACCAAAUUACAGUUUCAACUCAUUAAUAAAUCUAUAAUUAAGUACGAGUUUCUCGACCAAAUUACAGUUUUCUCCAAACCCCACCCACACCCACACCCACACCCAAAUUUUUGAAAUUCAUGGUCCAACUGUUUCUCGUAUAUACACCGACAUUAAGGUCGACAUUCACGUUCCCCAAAAAACUUGUCUGUUUCCAAACUUGAAUAAUAAUACCCCCUUGUCUACGGGUAUUCUUUGUCAGCGGAUAUUUUCUCUACUAAAUAAUUGACUGCUCCAAUUCAUUUGCACAUGUUGAGGCUGCUGAUAAGCGACGGAAGGAGGCAACACAGAUUCAAUCGAACUGGCCAUGGCUUGAGAUUGAUGUAAAUGUGGUUGCACAGUUGGUGGAGCAGCCAUCGUCUGAGAUGGAUGAUAAAU